rnacentral:misc_RNA from 1 species
GAUGAAGAACGCAGCGAAAUGCGAUAACUAAUGUGAAUUGCAGAAUUCAGUGAAUCAUCGAGUCUUUGAACGCACAUUGCGCCCCCUGGUAUUCCGGGGGGCAUGCCUGUCCGAGCGUCAUUGCUGCCCUCAAGCCCGGCUUGUGUGUUGGGUCGCCGUCCCCCUCUCCGGGGGGACGGGCCCGAAAGGCAGCGGCGGCACCGCGUCCGAUCCUCGAGCGUAUGGGGCUUUGUCACAUGCUCUGUAGGAUUGGCCGGCGCCUGCCGACGUUUUCCAACCAUUCUUUCCAGGUUGACCUCGGAUCAGGUAGGGAUACCCGCUGAACUUAAGCAUAUCAAUAAGCGGGGA